rnacentral:rRNA from 1 species
CUUUACUGCAACUUUGCACUGGCGUCAGAAGUGGACUGUGUAGGAUAGGCGGGAGGCGAUGAAGCGAGGGCGCCAGCUCUCGUGGAGCCAACCUUGAAAUACCGCCCUGGCUUCUUUUGACGUCUAACCCAGUCCGGUCAGCCCGGGCGGGGACCGUGCAUGGUGGGCAGUUUGACUGGGGCGGUCGCCUCCCAAAGUGUAACGGAGGCGCGCGAUGGUGGGCUCAAGCCGGUCGGACAUCGGCUGUCGAGUGCAAAGGCAUAAGCCCGCCUGACUGCGAGAGUGACAGCUCGAGCAGAGACGAGAGUCGGCCUUAGUGAUCCGGUGGUCCCUCGUGGACGGGCCAUCGCUCAACGGAUAAAAGGUA